AGACUUACCUGGUAGGGGAGAUACCAUGAUCAGGAAGGUGGUUUCCUCAGGGCAAGGUUAAUCCAUUGCAAUCUGGAUGUGCUGACCCCUGAGAUUUCCCCAAAUGUGGGAAACUCGACCGCAUAAUUUGUGGUAGUAGGUGACUCUUAGCAGUGGAUCACUGG